UACGGAGGGGGGCUAGCGUUGUUCGGAAUUACUGGGCGUAAAGCGCGCGUAGGCGGACCUGCAAGUCGGGGGUGAAAGCCCGAGGCUCAACCUCGGAACUGCCUUCGAUACUGCGGGUCUCGAGUCCGGGAGAGGUGAGUGGAAUUCCUAGUGUAGAGGUGGAAAUUCGUAGAUAUUAGGAAGAACACCAGUGGCGAAGGCGGCUCACUGGCCCGGUACUGACGCUGAGACGCGAAAGCGUGGGGA
rnacentral:rRNA from 1 species